rnacentral:lncRNA from 1 species
UUGGAUUGACACAUUAUGCAAGCCAAGUUUUCUACAAUGCAUUAUUCUACUCAUGUUCUUUACUAUCAUUUCAGUAAUUUUCUGUGAUAAUCUUCCCUUUUAAAUACGAAGUGAUGUACAGUGUAGCCUGGCUUGACAUAGCAGGCCUUGAGUGGACAGAAGAUGUGGCUGUAGACAGAAGAUGCGGACAGAGUGGACACAAAAAAAGUGGACAGAAGAUGCUUGGACAGAAGUGGUCAGAAGAUGCGGCUGCUUCAGCAAGCAUGAUUCAGCCUAUCUGCCGCCACCAGGCCGCUGGUGUUGUGAGAUGACACACACUACAAAAGCCCCAUGAUCUAUGGCAUUGUCUCUUCCUCCAAUUACUAUUCACACCUCUGAUUAACUUUGAUGUGGAACCUAAUGAGAUAAGGGCGAUUAUCAAGGCAGUGGCUGAUAGUGGUCUCAUUUAUUCCUGCGCCUGGAACCGGCAAGUGACAAAAAACUAAUGAGGAGGAGUCUGCCAGUAAAGCCCAGAGAGUUAAGGCUAGGAGAGGCGAGGAGAGGCGAGGAGAGGAGAGGCGAGGAGAGGAGAGGAGGGGAGGGGAGGGGAGAGGAGAGGAGAGGAGAGGAGAGGAGAGGAGAGGAGAGG